UGGCCGUCCGAGUUGUAAUCUAGAGAGGUGUUAUCCGCGCUGGACCGUGUACAAGUCUCCUGGAAUGGAGCGUCAUAGAGGGUGAGAAAUCCCGUCUUUGACACGGACUUGCCAGGGCUUUGUGAUGCGCUCUCAAAGAGUCGAGUUGUUUGGGAAUGCAGCUCAAAAUGGGUGGUAAAUUCCAUCUAAAGCUAAAUAUUGGCGAGAGACCGAUAGCGAACAAGUACCGUGAGGGAAAGAUGAAAAGAACUUUGGAAAGAGAGUUAAACAGUACGUGAAAUUGCUGAAAGGGAAACGCUUGAAGUCAGUCGCGUUGGCCGGGGAUCAACCUUGCUUUUGCUGGGCGUACUUUCCGGUUGACGGGUCAGCAUCAAUUUUGACCGUUGGAUAAAGUUCAGGGGAAUGUGGCAUCUUCGGAUGUGUUAUAGCCCUUGGUCGCAUACAACGGUUGGGAUUGAGGAACUCAGCACGCCGAAAGGCCGGGUACUUGUACCACGUUCGUGCUUAGGAUGCUGGCAUAAUGGCUUUAAUCGACCCGUCUUGAAACACGGACCAAGGAGUCUAACAUGCCUGCGAGUGUUUGGGUGGAAAACUCGGACGCGCAAUGAAAGUGAAAGUUGAGAUCCCUGUCGCGGGGAGCAUCGACGCCCGGACCAGACCUUUUGUGACGGAUCCGCGGUAGAGCAUGUAUGUUGGGACCCGAAAGAUGGUGAACUAUGCCUAAGCCAGAGGAAACUCUGGUGGAGGCUCGUAGCGAUUCUGACGUGCAAAUCG
rnacentral:rRNA from 1 species